UUUUUUUUUGGUUUGGGCAGAAGAAAAAUAAAUUAAAGGCAAAGAGAACCUCUGU
rnacentral:sRNA from 1 species